rnacentral:rRNA from 1 species
UUUGAAGGUCGGCGCAAGCGGUUGAGUAGAAAAGUCCCUUCCCGAACUCAGAAGUGAAACGACGCAUCGCCGAUGGUAGUGUGGGGUCUCCCCAUGUGAGAGUAGGUCAUCGUCAAGC